UCCGCAGCUCCUCUGGUGUUGCUACCAUCUCGAUGCAACUUCUAUAAUAUAACGAGAUCAAGUGUACGCUCGCUGCAACAUUUCGAUAUAUCCUUUCUAACAGACUAUUUUUCGAUCGGUUUUUUUGUCAAGCGAAUACUACUCCACGUGAAAUUAUCAAUCGGCCAGUAAUCUCCUUUUGGUUUUUCCAAAAAUCAUUGAUAACGAUAAUUUUCACUAGCUAACGAAAAGAGGGGGAAACAAAAAUGUGACUUCGCCGCGAAUCUCAUGUUUAUGAAGAAAUUAUCCGUAACCACACAACCUCACUGGCUAGAUAGUGAUAAAUCAGGUGAAACGGUAUCGCAACACGGAUGCUGAGUCACUGAGGUGCUUUGACUAGCCGUAAAAUUACCGCAGGAAAAAAGGAAGACCACCGCUGCUAGACGGACACACACAUCCGAAAAGUAUCGUACGAAAAUAAAAUCCACCAUGAAAAGAAUAAAUUAGUGAACCUUGAAUAAAUAUUCCUUUACACACAAUCUGUUAUGAGUAUCUUUUUUCAAUAUUGGUUUUUAUCCUUAUGUUCCAAGCAGAUACUUGAAAACCCCGCGCGGAACACUCCGACGCUUACCCAAUUUCUAAUAAUUAUUCCAACUGGUGGGUUUCAGACACUUACUUCGAUCCGUACAGCUGUUGAAAAAAAGAUAUUCUCAUCCUGCGAACGGUUCGGCCUUUUCUUGUGCAACACUUGCAGACAAUAUCGUAUGUAAACCUGUAUGUAUACCGGUUUUUUCGAGACUCGAAAGGUCGGCGGUGCAGUCAUCGAAAUCAGUCAUUAUUUAGUGUGAUCAUUGAUUAAUUCUGUGAUCAGAAUUUGGUUGCUAGAAGAAUUCUAGACCAACUUAUAU